rnacentral:rRNA from 1 species
CAGCAGUGGGGAAUAUUGGGCAAUGGGCGCAAGCCUGACCCAGCAACGCCGCGUGAGGGAAGAAGGUUUUCGGAUUGUAAACCUCUGUCGCAGGGGACGAAGGAAGUGACGGUACCCUGUAAGAAAGCCCCGGCUAACUACGUGCCAGCAGCCGCGGUAAUACGUAGGGGGCGAGCGUUGUCCGGAAUUACUGGGCGUAAAGGGAGCGUAGGCGGUCGAUUAAGUUAGAUGUGAAACCCCCGGGCUUAACUUGGGGACUGCAUCUAAUACUGGUUGACUUAGAGUACAGGAGAGGGAAGCGGAAUUCCUAGUGUAGCGGUGAAAUGCGUAGAUAUUAGGAGGAACACCAGUGGCGAAGGCGGCUUUCUGGACUGACACUGACGCUGAGGCUCGAAAGCGUGGGGAGCAAACAGGAUUAGA